rnacentral:rRNA from 1 species
CCUACGGGAGGCAGCAGUAGGGAAUCUUCCGCAAUGGACGAAAGUCUGACGGAGCAACGCCGCGUGAACGAUGAAGGCCUUCGGGUCGUAAAGUUCUGUUGUUAGGGAAGAACAAGUGCUAGUUGAAUAAGCUGGCACCUUGACGGUACCUAACCAGAAAGCCACGGCUAACUACGUGCCAGCAGCCGCGGUAAUACGUAGGUGGCAAGCGUUGUCCGGAAUUAUUGGGCGUAAAGCGCGCGCAGGCGGUUUCUUAAGUCUGAUGUGAAAGCCCCCGGCUCAACCGGGGAGGGUCAUUGGAAACUGGGAAACUUGAGUGCAGAAGAGGAAAGUGGAAUUCCAAGUGUAGCGGUGAAAUGCGUAGAGAUUUGGAGGAACACCAGUGGCGAAGGCGACUUUCUGGUCUGUAACUGACGCUGAGGCGCGAAAGCGUGGGGAGCAAACAGGAUUAGAUACCCUGGUAGUCCACGCUGUAAACGAUGAGUGCUAAGUGUUAGAGGGUUUCCGCCUUUAGUGCUGAAGUUACGCAUUAAGCACUCCGCCUGGGGAGACGUCGCAGACNGAACGUAAAGAAGUAGAGCGNGAGAGUGCGACGACGACGACGAGGGAGAGG